UUUUCAUAUGCAUUUUAUUUAAAGUAAAGCUAGAUUCGUUUUAUCUCUUUGGCUUUAUACAAAGUUUAAGUGGUUGAAUAUUCAUCCUGAACCUUGUGAUUACUGUUCAGGUAUCUCUCCGAGUAAGGCUUCGAGUGUCAGAGCCAUCACCAACUGUUAUGGGUUGACUACCUAUACAAAGCUUUAUUAGAUCUCAACCUGUGGAAGUAAUCUAAUACAAACGACACUUGUAUGGAAUUUUCAGGACAUGUUUCUAAGAUCACAGAGGAUACGAUACUCUCUAGGUUUGAGGACUAGCUCCAGUUACGCUUUUGGGUCCAGUGAAUGUAUGAUACCCAUUAUGUGGUCCAAAAAGAAUGAGAUUUGACGGACGCUCUAGUGGCCAAAUUCAUAUGGCUACCUUCACUCUAUGCCUUAAGAGCUGAAAAGUUUCCGUGGUUUCGAAUACUUUGCUUCUUUCAGAUUAACGAAAACCCUAUUUAGUUGCAAAGACUGAGAAGAGAAUAAGAGUCGAGGGACCAUAUAAAGCUUGUAAUUGUACGUUUAUGCGGAUUCUCCACUUUCCAUGGCUGUGAGAAACUAUCUGAGGAAAAGUGCAGUGACCUUUGGCAAAAGGGAUGUGCGAAAUUGUCUUUGGGGCGGCAUAAGUGGAAUCAUUUAUCUUCUACGUGAUAAAGUGAUGUGGAAAGUGUCACCAAGAAAGGAAUCAUUAACUUUGAACUUAGGCAAGGAAUUUCAAACCAGAAGUAAUUUACAAGCAUGCAGUCUAGUUUUGCCAUAGCAGCAUCAGAAUGAUGGAACAAUUCCAUAUCCGGUGUCAAAUGUUAUCAUUGUGGAGAAAGCUUGGUUUGCCUCUUCAUCGACAUCUUUCUUCUUUGCAAACCGGCCCUUGAUCCGUGGUCUUUUCUCUGCAUACGCUUUCCUUGAAGCAUAUCUUAUCGUCUUCUCAAAUUUCCUCAUCUUCUUCUUCUCUCUGUAUCUCAGGACUCUAGCUUCUCUGUCCCUUGGACUGAGCAUCUGAGCUGGAGGGUAAGGUGGUUGGUCUGUUACCGCUUUGGGCGAUCUUGGGUUUGAUACUGUUGCGUCACUCGUUGUUGACUCCGGCACAACUCCCAGGUCCAUAGAUGAAACAUUCACCUAAUGACAGUAACAAAGACAUUCUUAGAAAUUUACUUCAUGGAUUUGUGUGAAAGAAGCAGCAUGCUGGUCAUAGUAACGGAUCUGAAUUAAAUAUAUGAAAGCUUACCAUAUGACUGAGGGAACCAUUGGAGCUUCGAAGAGCUCCCCAGGAGCCACAGUUGAUACUCAGCUGAAAGUUCUGUUGCUCUUGGUACAUGCCCUUUGAUACUUCAAUUUGAAGUGGAACAACUCCAUCUUCCCCAUAGCUCCUCUGAGGUACGUUGCAGUCUAGUUGAUACUGAUUGGAUUGAUCUGUGAAUUGCUUAUCACUCGAACUAUAAUCAACAAGGUUCAGAAACUCAUCCCCAAUCGAGAAGCCAUUGUUGUUACCACUGUUUUUCCCUGAAUUAGGCAACAACCAUGAAGCCGCCUCUGCUUCAUCUUCAUCCUCUUCUUCUUGACCAAGCACAAGUCUGUUCUCUGGAUCUGUCACUGUUGUCUCACAUGAAUGGUUAGUGGCCGUGGAACUGUAAGAGUACUCAGAAAUGGGCAGAAUUGGAACUCGUUGAUGGCGUCUAGCAAGUGGGUUUGCGGAAUGAAUCUCUGAAUCACAGGUUGUGCAUAGAGAUGCAGCAUCUGCCUUGCAGAAAAAGGCAGCCGGGGCUCGCUCACAUGAUUGACAGACUCGAACACGUUCAUGGCGGGAAGCAAGACGAUUGGCAGCAUGAACUUGAGCAUCACAACUGGAGCACAAGUAGGCAGAAUCAGCCCGGCAGUACACGGUGCAGGCGGCUGAUCGGCAUGUAUCACAGGCUUGUGCCCAGUUACUCUCUACUUUCAACAUACUAACCGCAGAUGUUGUAGUUGUUUGAUGGUGAGUGAGAUCGUAUGUAAAGGCAGCAGGGGACUAAGAAGGCUAUAUUAGUUGUUGAAUGGAAAUGGAAAGGAAGGAUAGAAUUCUGAGGGCUGGACACGUGGCGAGAAGUUUGUGGGUUUGAUGUUGAGUGAUCAUCUUGUGGCUGGCUGAGUUUUUGAGAAGGGGUCCAGUGCAGAGAUGCUUACAGCUUUGGAAUCAUCAACCAGCACGAAAUGUGAAAGAAAGAAAAAAACUAAUUGUCUUCUUAUAUCUUUGCAAUGGCACCAAUAGUUACUACUUUUUCUCUCUUUCUUCCUCAAUAAGUGUAAACACCUCUUCCUAUGUAAUCUUCUAUAGGACCCAUCCACAUGUUACCUAGGUUCUGAAACGUGCAACUUCUAACUAUUUUUGUAUCAUCUACUACUAUUUUGGUAAAGCUGGAAACUUUAGUAGCUCUUUGGCUUGACCAUUAGCCUAAUGUUUAUCUUGAUUCUUAACUUUUGCCAUGUUCUAACUGUUCAGGUGUCUUUUUUGGUGAUAUGUUGGAGAUAAUAGAUAUGGCAUGUCCUAACUUUGUUUCCUUCCACAUCAAGUCGGUCAAGCUGAUUUGGCCAACGGUGGAGAUCCAAGGAGCCAAUUGGAAUCUGCCAAGUCGCUACGAGUCUCUAGAGAUUAGGAGCCACAAGUUGAAGCAAAU
rnacentral:lncRNA from 1 species